rnacentral:rRNA from 1 species
GCAAGUCGAACGAGAAAGCUUCUUCGGAAGCAAGUAGAGUGGCGCACGGGUGAGUAACACGUAGAUAACCUGCCCCUUAGUCCGGGACAACCCUUCGAAAGGGGGGCUAAUACUGGAUAACACUAAGAAUCGAAUGGUUUUUAGUUGAAAGAUUCAUCGCUGGGGGAUGGGUCUGCGUACCAUUAGCUAGUUGGUGGGGUAACGGCCUACCAAGGCUUCGAUGGUUAGCGGGUCUGAGAGGAUGAUC